GACGAACGCUGGCGGCACGCCUAACACAUGCAAGUCGAACGGAGAAUUUAGGUUUACUUGAAUUCUUAGUGGCGGACGGGUGAGUAACACGUGAGCAACCUGCCUUUGAGAGAGGGAUAAUUUCUGGAAACGGAUUGUAAUACCUCAUAACAUAGCGAAAUCGCAUGAUUAUGCUAUCAAAGAUUUAUCACUCAAAGAUGGGCUCGCGUCUGAUUAGAUAGUUGGUGAGGUAACGGCUCACCAAGUCGACGAUCAGUAGCCGGACUGAGAGGUUGAACGGCCACAUUGGGACUGAGAUACGGCCCAGACUCCUACGGGAGGCAGCAGUGGGGAAUAUUGGGCAAUGGGCGCAAGCCUGACCCAGCAACGCCGCGUGAAGGAAGAAGGCUUUCGGGUUGUAAACUCUUUGUCAGGGACGAGUAGAAGACGGUACCUGACGAUAAGCCACGGCUAACUACGUG
rnacentral:rRNA from 1 species